rnacentral:rRNA from 1 species
AGAGAUGUGUGAUGACGCAUAUCAAUAAGCGGAGGAAAAGAAACUAACAAGGAUUCCCUUAGUAACGGCGAGUGAAGCGGGAAGAGCUCAAAUUUGAAAUCUUCAAGGUUUUACCUUGACGAAUUGUAGUUUAAAGAAGUGUUUUCUGUUGAAGUUUUGGUAAAGGUUCUUUGGAAUAGGACAUCAUAGAGGGUGAGAAUCCCGUAUUUGACCAUUAUUUUCAGCUGUGUGAUACACUUUCAAAGAGUCGGAUUGUUUGGGAAUGCAGUCCAAAAUGGGUGGUAAAUUUCAUCUAAAGCUAAAUAUUGGCGAGAGACCGAUAGCGAACAAGUACCGUGAGGGAAAGAUGAAAAGAACUUUGAAAAGAGAGUUAAACAGUACGUGAAAUUGUCAAAAGGGAAGCGUUUGACACCAGUGUUGUUUUUCCGAAAAUCAAUUAUGAAUGGCUUGAUUUUAAGUUUCAUGACCUUAAAAGCUUGUUUCUUAUUUUUCAUGUCUUUCGUAAUGCACUUUUCGGUUAACAAGUCAACAUCAAUUUCUUUUGUUGUAAAAGAGUAUGAGGAAGGUGGCUUUCUUUUCGGAGAAAGUGUUUAUAGCCUUGUACCUCUGCAAUCGGAGAGAUUGAGGUCUGCAGCGUAGAUCCUUCGGGGUUAGAUACAUUUGUGCUAAGUUAUAGCUUUUCAUAGACAACUUGUUGACUAUGUUAAGUCUUGUAGCUUACUCGCUUAUGCUAUUUUACCUACGCUUAGGAUGUUGACGCAUGAGAUAUACGC